rnacentral:rRNA from 1 species
UACUCCUACGGGGAGGCAGCAGUGGGGAAUAUUGCACAAUGGGCGCAAGCCUGAUGCAGCCAUGCCGCGUGUAUGAAGAAGGCCUUCGGGUUGUAAAGUACUUUCAGCGGGGAGGAAGGCGACGGGGUUAAUAACCCCGUCGAUUGACGUUACCCGCAGAAGAAGCACCGGCUAACUCCGUGCCAGCAGCCGCGGUAAUACGGAGGGUGCAAGCGUUAAUCGGAAUUACUGGGCGUAAAGCGCACGCAGGCGGUCUGUUAAGUCAGAUGUGAAAUCCCCGGGCUUAACCUGGGAACUGCAUUUGAAACUGGCAGGCUUGAGUCUUGUAGAGGGGGGUAGAAUUCCAGGUGUAGCGGUGAAAUGCGUAGAGAUCUGGAGGAAUACCGGUGGCGAAGGCGGCCCCCUGGACAAAGC